rnacentral:rRNA from 1 species
UACGAAGGGGGCUAGCGUUGUUCGGAAUUACUGGGCGUAAAGCGCACGUAGGCGGCUAUUUAAGUGAGGGGUGAAAUCCCAGGGCUCAACCCUGGAACUGCCUCUCAUACUGGGUAUCUCGAGUUCGAGAGAGGUGAGUGGAAUUGCGAGUGUAGAGGUGAAAUUCGUAGAUAUUCGCAGGAACACCAGUGGCGAAGGCGGCUCACUGGCUCGAUACUGACGCUGAGGUGCGAAAGCGUGGGGAGCAAACAGG